UACGUAGGGGGCGAGCGUUGUCCGAAGUUACUGGGCGUAAAGCGCGCGUAGGCGGUCAUUUAAGUCUGAGGUGAAAGGUUCAGCGCUCAACGUGAACAGUGCCUUGGAUACUGGGUGACUUGAGUUCGGGAGGGGGCAGUGGAAUUCCAGGUGUAGCGGUGAAAUGCGUAGAUAUCUGGAGGAACACCGAUGGCGAAGGCAGCUGCCUGGCCCAGAACUGCCGCUGAGGUGCGAAAGCGUGGGGAGCGAACGGG
rnacentral:rRNA from 1 species